GCAGGCCACCUACAUGUCCGCGGGCCUCGAGCCCGCCGACGCCGAGGUGGCGGCGCUCACCCCGGAGGAGAAGCAGCAACUCGUGGACGACGUCCGAGCCGCGCUCUACGCGAGCAAGAUUUGCUCCUACGCCCAGGGCAUGAACCUGAUCAGGGCCAAGUCCAACGAGCAGGGUUGGAACCUGGACCUCGGCGAGAUGGCCAGGAUCUGGAAGGGCGGCUGCAUCAUCCGCGCGCGCUUCCUCGACCGCAUCAAGAAGGCUUACGACCGCGACGCCGACCUCCCGUCGCUGCUCGUCGACGGCGAGUUUGCCAAGGAGCUCGUGG
rnacentral:lncRNA from 1 species